rnacentral:rRNA from 1 species
GAUGAACGCUGGCGGCGUGCCUAAUACAUGCAAGUCGAGCGAACGGACGAGAAGCUUGCUUCUCUGAUGUUAGCGGCGGACGGGUGAGUAACACGUGGAUAACCUACCUAUAAGACUGGGAUAACUUCGGGAAACCGGAGCUAAUACCGGAUAAUAUUUUGAACCGCAUGGUUCAAAAGUGAAAGACGGUCUUGCUGUCACUUAUAGAUGGAUCCGCGCUGCAUUAGCUAGUUGGUAAGGUAACGGCUUACCAAGGCAACGAUGCAUAGCCGACCUGAGAGGGUGAUCGGCCACACGGGAACGGAGACACGGUCCAGAGUCCUACGGGAGGCAGCAGUAGGGAAUCUUCCGCAAUGGGCGAAAGCCUGACGGAGCAACGCCGCGUGAGUGAUGAAGGUCUUCGGAUCGUAAAACUCUGUUAUUAGGGAAGAACAUAUGUGUAAGUAACUGUGCACAUCUUGACGGUACCUAAUAAGAAAGCCACGGCUAACUACGUG